GUGUUUUUUUUUUUUCAUGUGAAAAUACAGGAAGGCUGUUUUCAGUGGAUCUUUUGUCCUCAAUCCAAAAGGUGUUUUUCUCCUCUAAGAAAGCAAAGUGCAUGUUCUGCCUGGUCCCUAUUGUGGAGCUGGCCCAGCGUGGAUGGCUUAACUGGACUGACCUGCUGUGAGCAGCCGGCCGCACUGCAACUCCCACUCACUCAGCCAAGAGAGGCUAUGGGGACCCAAGCCCUGCUUUGAGAGAGACUGUCUGAGGUGGCUAUACAGAGCCCGGGGCCCUGCUGGUGGCAGUGACAUGGCUGAAAUGGGGUUGCCACUCAAUUAGGUCACAGGAUUCUGCCCCCAGGGGUCCUGACUCUGUCAGAAGAGUCCACUGGAGUGUGACGAGGGGUGCCUGUCAUCAGAACCCAGCCUGGGCAGGGCCUUCUGCCAAUGCCUCUCAUAAGCAGAGCAAACACUGGGCCACAGAGCUGGGACCUCAUGAAUGGGACAGGCAAGACAGAAAAUUUUUGCUGUAGUAAAUAGGUGGUGAUUGUUACUAUUUCUUUCUAGGAAUUCUCUAUUUCUUCUAGAAUUAGAAGCCUUAAGAAUUUUGUGUCCAAGUUUUCAUAGUAUUUCCUUUCUUCACCUCUUUCUCUCUGUCUCUUGUUAGAAGGGACCAGUAAGAAAAACAUAAAAAGGUUGGGACUGGUGCGCACUGUUGCAAGGCUGUUAGGAAGAAUAGGGCAGUUGUGCCCUGUUCUGAGGGGCAGUAAGGCAGUUUGGGGCCAGCUGUUGGCAGCAUGAGGCUUUACCCAUGGCCCUUAUAUUGCUGUGGGCAAGGAAGUAGUGAUGCCAGGCAUUUCUUUCUGUUUGGUAGAAAAAUGGAAUGUUAGUAUCAUAUCAGUUAGCCAAAUUAGGGUGCAGGAACACAAUCUUUACAUCUGAGAGUAUUCCUUUUAUGUUUAGAACCAUUGCAUUAGCCCCAAACCCCAGAUGUAUAUUUGACUGGAAAGCACCUUUUCUUGAGCUGUAGAAGUCAUGAAACAUUGACCUGCAGAGUUCCUGGCCGCGCCAGGUUCUGGUCAUGGGUGAUGUUGGAUGUGUGCUGAAAAUGACUCCCUGUGGCUGGUGCUGUAGCAACAAGUCCGCGAGCUUCCUGCUCAUCUCUUCUCUGACUAUCCAUGGGCUUCCCGCUGGGCUCUGCUAACAUCCCCUUCUCUUCUGCCUCCCACUUAUUCCCCCAGCCCCAAGUUGUGCAGAAAGCUGUUCUUUCUUGUUUUAAUAUUUUAAAAAAGAAAGCAGUGGCAUUGUCUAAGGCAGAGAUUCUUGGCUGAUUUACUCAUGCUAGGAAUCAAACCUUUCUUAAAAAGCUGCCUUCUCUGCAUGGUGGGUUUUAGAUACUUGGACUGACAAAGCUGGCGUUGUUUUGAGAGGGUUAACUAAGAUUAAUGAGGAAAGAAACGUGAAGCCAUAAAGGAUCAGCGUUUCCAAUCAAUGACGGAAUAAAUUUAAUGUGUAUUCCAUCUGCAGUUUCCUUGGCACAAAUGUCCAGAUGCCAAUUCCAAAAGGUUUUGCCUUUUUAUGCUUCUAAAUAACCUACUAAGACAAGAACAGUGUGUAUUUCAAGUGUAAUAGUGCUUUAUUUAAGGUUUAUACUGCAGUCGAUGUAUUGAUCAAGAGGAAUUUGUAGAAUACAGAGGUGUGUUUUAAUAAGAGCUGGAUAGAGUACCACAAACCUUGCUAUUCCCAGGACUUUAACAAUUGUGAAUUGCAGUUUCAGCAUCUUAUUUGGGAGAGGAAGGAAGAGGAAAAAAAUAAUUAAUUGUGAUAGAGUAAUGGGGACCACGAAAUGGGGGCUCUAAUCCCCACCAAAUGCAUGGGUAAUGAAAUCAUGAGAUUCUCUGUAGGUGUUCUGAAAUAACUAUCAGAAAGCAGCUCUGUGCAUGAGCUUUUUAGAGACCGUGUAUUUAAGCUGUGUGUAAUUCCUUUUUCAGGUGGGGAGUGGUGUGAGGCCUUGGUCCAUUUCAUUGCUGACAUUAGCCCUGCACCAGCGGGAGAACGUUUCUUCCUUUAAUCACCCCAAGAUUAGCCUGCAGUUGCCUCUUUCUGUUGGAUAUUUGAAUAACAAGCUUGAUGAGGCCACUUAACUCCCUCCAAUUACAGGUGCCAAAUGGGGGUACAAAAAAGAGAGGCCUUUUACAUGUGUGAAUGAUUUCACAGUCCAGUGUCAUAAUCAGAUUCUAGAAAUUGAACUUGCAGAAAGUUUGUGCUAGCCUUGUGGAUUUUCAUUUCAGAUGUUGUCAACUCAAGGGCAUUUGGACCAAUCAAUAUCUGUCUGUCUUCUCACACAUAGAAAGUUGGCUAUUAGAAAAGAGAGGCUUACAGCAGGGCUCAGCCAAUACCAUUAGCCCUAGCCUAAGGGCAGUUCUGUCCAUGUGCCCGGGUAGGCACCUGCCCCCUCCCCUCCCCCACCAUUAGGGAGGCCACUUGGGAUGUCAUUUGGACAGAGUGGGCAAAGAGCACUUCUUUAUUCUCUCUCUUUUUUACACCCAGACUCCCCCAAAAUCAAUAAAUCUGUUCUUUGCUUAUUUUCAGAACUUUACUUCAAUAUAAGCAAGGACUUUCCUUCCAGCAACAAGCUCAAGUAACACCAUGUCAGGCUUAUGUGUGUGUGUGUUUUCUUUCUCUGUUCCAAUUUGAAAAAUAAUUGGAAAUAAUAUCUGAUUGAUGUUCUCUCUCUCUCUCUCUCUCUCUUUAGCUAAAGAUUUCCUAGAUGAAAGACCUUGAUCCACUGCCUUUCAUGAUUCAGCACUGGAUUUUCUGUUCCAUGCAGCCUUCUAUUGGAAUAAUUUUGUGAAAUGAAGGCAACAAACCCCCUGGCUGAGAGAAAACCCCGAAGCAGUUAAGAUACCAGGAAAGGAAGACUUGAAAAUUGGUUAGUGAAGAUUCUGAGUAUUUCCUGUGAGUCUUUCUCAGUAGAGGAGGCAGUGUGCUGUUAUAUGCUGAUGCAGCUCCUUGUCUUGGACUCAUAACUGACAGAACAGCAUGUGGACCUCACCGCUCCUUGGACUUCGAGUGGCGCUACUCUAACGCUGAGUCCUGACCUGGAUCCCUGUUUGCUUGCCUAGACCUAAGGCGGUGGUGCAGACCUUCCCCCACCCCACAUACCAUCGCCUUCUGGAAUGUGGCUUUGUGGAACUGAGGCUGAGACAAUCACAGUGCCCCAUUCUUCUGGUCAUGUGACAGGUCUGGACCUGGUCAUGUGGCAAAGUCGAAUCUAAGUCACAUCAAAGCAGGGAGAGUUAAAGCAAAUCUUUUCUCUCUUGUUGUGGAGCUGGAAUAUGAGCCCAGAAGCUUCCAGAACACAUGGUCCUGCCCUCAUAAAGAAGCUCAAGUGAGGGAACAAAAUCGACUUAGGUAGCAGCGAGCAUGGAUGGGGCCUGGCUACAUCAAGUUCUCAGAUCCUGUUGUCCCCACCCACCCCCUGUAACUUGCCAAUUUUAUCCAUCAAGCAUCCUCUCCUCUCUCCCAACUUGUCUGAGUUCUGUUUCUGUCAUUGUCACCAAGAGAGCUUUGAUGAGUAAGAAAUCCCAACAUUCCACGGGAGUCUUGGUGGUUUAAAUUUUUAAGUGAGUCCUCACUUGUUAAAGUCUUAUUCCUGUUAGAGGGCACUUCCAUAGUCCAGAAGGUGGGGAAUUCCUAUAGGUGACCUGUGGUCUCUCUAAGCAAUUUGACCAGGACUAUUUAAUAAAAUAUUUUAAAAAUGGUUCCUUUUAAUUAUUCAUUUUCAAAUGUAUAUUUGUUCUUGGCAAACAAGAGAUGAUUUGCGUUAAUCAGUGAUCUUUAAGCAAAUUCCUUGCAAUACUUUAUCUCCAUAUAAACUCGAAGCUUCUUAAAUGAAAUAGUACCUGUGUAUUUCAUAUGGCUUCCUCUUUUAUAAAUAAAAUGAAUGGACUUGGGACCAAAACAGAAUUUUUUUUUUCGGGAACUAUAGGACUGGAAUCUUUUUAUCCAAGGCAGUUGGAUCCCACAGUACAUUUUCACUGUAACAGACAAUGAGGUUGAGUCAAUAAAUAAAUAAAUAAAGUCACCAACAUGUCCAAAAGCCUCCAUUUAAAACUCAAAGCCAGUGGUUUUGGGUUUCACCUUUUCCUUUAAAAUUAAAUUCCCUGAAACCAUAUUUUAAAAAUGCUAUCUGAAUGGGAACCGCCAAACUGGGAAACUUUAAGUUUAAAAAUAGAACUGCAUCUGAAUUAUCUUAUAGAAAUUUGUCUUCUAACCAGCCAUCAGUAACUGUAAGCAUGCUUCAUAGAUCUACAUAUUUCAGCACUUUUUACAUUCUGAAAGAAUCUUGCUUAGAUACGAAGGUUAACUGGACACCUUUUUCUGCAUUCACCUUUAAUACUGGAUGCCCCCUUUAUCUGCACUCCCAAGCUGGGAAGCCCCAGAGUGGGCUCUUGGCCCCUUGCGGCCAACUGAAGUUCUCCAUCUCUGCAGCCUCCGUGAUCACCUUAAGAAUAGGCUCGCGACCUCCUUUGGGCCACACAGAGUCCUUCUCAGGGCUUGCGCUGGAGCUCUCAGGAGGGAUGCUCGCUUUCUCACUGAUCAGGAACUCUAAGGACCAAAGCCUGGAGUGAGGAUGUGAUCUGCUUGCAAGCGAAGGAGGCAGGAGGCAGCCGGACUCGAGGGCACACAUGACCUGGCAGGGCUGAACCUCAGGCUCCGGUGAGGCUGGCUCCUGACUGCCCCUCUGGACUUUCUCAGUUAUUUCAGGCCAUGGAUUAUCUUUAGUGCUUAAGCUAGUUUGAGUUGUGUUUCUGCCACUCAUAAUUCAGAGAAUCCUGGUGGCUUCAGUGUGAUCAGGAAGACAUUGGGAGCCAUUUUAGUUUUUACUUAACUUUUCCAAACUUGCUAGACAGGCUGAUUAUGGGUCUGUGCUAGUCUGGGAACCUGUGUUUGCUCUCUUAAGCCAUGGGUCUUAGACUCAUUUCCUGUUGCAAACAGGAUGCACUGCACAUUUUUACUGUGUUUUUGCUGCCCAUAAGUGGGAGGCAGAUUCGAAUGAUAGAAUUGGAAAGGUUCCAAAAGCACCAGCCAUGGUAGGGACCCUGAAGAUUGCAAGAUAAACAAAAGCAUUCAGAACUUGUGAUGGGAGUGUGAGAGGAUUGAGCGUUGAAGUCAGCCUAACAGAGGCUGUCGUUUACCCGGUGAAAUCCUCAAGUUACAAACAGCUGCUGUGCAAUUGGAAGUCACAGUCUUCAGUUAGGCUUGAUUUGUCAUUUGGUUUAUAAAUAAGCUUUCAUUUUGUCUUUUUUUUUUUUUUUUUUUGGUCUGGCAAUGUGGUAUCUCUUCCUUGCAGGAUUUGGGAAGCUGGGAAUAUGUGUGACCCACACUACCUGAGGGUGAUAGACUUUGACAGUGUCUCCAGCAUUUUCAUGUUGAAAUCUGCUUUAUCCUAAUUUCCAGUCUUGGUCUUGUCUGUCACAGGCUGGGGAGAAGAGCACCGUCCAGAGAAGGACCCAAUAAGGGACAUUUCCACCUUGCUUAGUGGGUUGAGGGCUGGGCUUUGGGUUUGAGAUGUGAAGAGAAAGAAGCUACGUGGAAGAGAAAGGAUGGAGGUACAAGGACGCCCUCCAGCCGGCUACACUUCUGAAACUAAAACAUACAAAACUCAGUGGCUUUUCCUCAACUCCUAUGAUGGAUGUGCAAGGACGCCCUCCAGCUGGCUGCAUUUCUGAUGCUAAAAAUACAAAACUCAGCAGCUUUGCCCAUACUCCUAUGAUGCCUG
rnacentral:lncRNA from 1 species